CGAUUACGAAAGCACGACGACUUUGAAUUUUUCUCUCAGCCUCUCAUUCUCAUCUCUUUGAGAGCACGAUAUGGUGUCGCAUGCAUCGUCUUUCUUCCAUCAAUGCCAUCAGCGGAAACCAAAUCCCAAUUUUUCAAAUCACGAUUUCUUCAGUCUCAAAUUAUACCUCAAUGUCCUCUCUCGCCCCUAUCGUUUGCCACUGCUACGGAGGUACUCAUUUUGUUUAUAUUUUUUUUCUUGUUCUUUUAAAAUAUUUUAAGAUUGAGAAUCUGAUUUGGGGUGAGCUGUGGAGCCAGAGGAUUUUGUGCCAUUACUGUCGUGCGCUAGGUAGUGGGUGGUGGGAUUAUUUUCAAAUUUUGAUAGGAUUAGGGAAUCACAUCAUGGGAUUAUGAUUUAUUGAUCAAAUAUUGAAUAGGAUUAAGAUUAUAUUGAAUGGGAUCUGAGAAUAGGAUUUAUUGCUAAUAUAUUCUAGUUCCUUUUAAAUAUUGAAUGGGAAUAAAAAAUGGGAUUAGGAUUUAGGAUUAUAUUCAAUCCGUGUUUCUCACUCAAAAGCUAAAUAUAAAGAACUAGUUUGGUAGAUUUGAGUGUUUGCUUUUAAGUCUUCCUUCGGUUUUAAGAAAUUUUGGGUAAGUGAACGAAAAUUUCUAAUUUCCCUUUUGCUGGAACGAUAUGUAUAAUGCUUAGCUAUAUAUGCUAGUACAUAAAUUUCCCUUUUACUGCAACAAAUAGAAAUUUUAUUGAUAGGCAUCAUCCGUAAACAACAAAAAAUAAGGACUACCGCAAGUUAACAAUUACCUGAUUAAAUGGCCAUAAAUUGCAGCCCCUGUGGGAGAUAGAUUCUUCCCUUAUUAAAAUACUUUUGAGGUCCGAUAAAUUUAUUUUUGCCAUUUACAAAUUUGGUUGUGUAAACAUGGCUUGUUAGUUGUUGGCAUGAUAUCGAGAAGUAGCUGCCCUUGCUCUAUUUGGGUCAGAUAUUAUGCUACAACUCAAGCUCUCUAAUAGCUUUCCAUUUCUUGCUUACUUUUCUAUUUGAGUUGGGAUGAGACUUUUCGCGAGUUUCUUUUCUUCAUUCUAGGCUCACAAGUUGUGAAGAAAUCAAGCUUAUUUCUUUCCCCACUUAAAUGCCCCAUGGCAGGCACAUUCUACAGAAGUCCUGCUCCUGGUGAACCACCAUUCAUGAAGGCAAUUAAUAUAAAUUUGAUGAUGGAAAAAGAAAAAAAUGAAGGUAGGAAUGGAUUUGUAUUUGUAAGGUAGAUGUGUGUAUCAAUUUUUUGUAUUUUUUGUAUACAACACAUGCUCAGAAGAAAUUAUCUUGUCAUUAGCUUUACCCCCGUUUAGACUAUUUCAAUGCUUUAUUUCUUCUUUCACAGUUCGAGGCUUCACAUCUCUUUGUAUUCGCAUCGUUACAUGGUUAUAUAAUCAUAAGCUGCAACCCUAUAUCAGUUGAUACCCUGAGUAGCUACAUUUGCAUGGUCAUGUUAUUCUAGCAUCAUAAUUUAUGCCAUUUAUCAGCUACUAGAUGACACUAUAUCAAUGUUGACACUGUGAGUUCUCUGGUCUAAUCAAUAUUGGUUGAUAGUAUAAGUGAUAUACUAUUUUAAUCUCUCUUCACUUUAAGUGUGUUCUGAUUUUUCUUACACCUGUUUAUAGCCUCUGUUUUUGAUUGAAACAUAGAGCAAGUAGAGUUAAAAGCAUGGUAUUAAGGAAUAAGAUGGUCUACCUUAUAUUUAAGGCGGGUUGAAGCAUGCUUUUUACUCCUAGGAACGUGUUGUGCUGGGAAUGAGAUUAUAGUUAGAAUUGGAAAUGAAAGUCUCCAAUAAAUUCCUUUCUUUACCUGUAUUAGAAUUUGUUGAAAUAUUUCUUUUGCUACUAUGCAUACCAAACUAUAUCAUUAUUCCUCCCAAAGAAGAAAUGAUAAUCCUCCUUUUUUUUUUUGCUACUACAUAUACUAAACUAUUUCAAAAAUUUGUAAUGAAAUUAUCAUUUUUAUACAAUUCCAA
rnacentral:lncRNA from 1 species